rnacentral:rRNA from 1 species
UACGAAGGGGGCUAGCGUUGCUCGGAUUGACUGGGCGUAAAGGGCGCGUAGGCGGUUCGUACAGUCAGACGUGAAAUUCCUGGGCUCAACCUGGGGGCUGCGUUUGAUACGUGCGGACUUGAGUGCGGAAGAGGGUCGUGGAAUUCCCAGUGUAGAGGUGAAAUUCGUAGAUAUCAGGAGGAACACCGGUGGUGUAAACGGCUUUCUGGACCAUAACUGACGCUGAGGCACGAAAGCGUGGGUAGCAAACAGG